rfam:Roseobacter sp. SK209-2-6 1101232001820, whole genome shotgun sequence.
GCCUCCGACUCGAAAUUGCCUGACAUGCAAGCUGGCUGGGAGCAGAUGUGUUCUAACGUCAUGGCCGGACUUUCUGGCCUGAACAUGGUCUAUGAAGCCG